CGAUUGACGGAGCGAAGCGACGUCAAAGCGUAUACAAAGUCGAGUCGGUUUAAGGAUACGUUCGUUGGGUAGGGGAGCGUUCUGUAAGCCUGCGAAGGUGGCCUGUGAGGGUUGCUGGAGGUAUCAGAAGUGCGAAUGCUGACAUAAGUAACGAUAAAGCGGGUGAAAAGCCCGCUCGCCGGAAGACCAAGGGUUCCUGUCCAACGUUAAUCGGGGCAGGGUGAGUCGACCCCUAAGGCGAGGCCGAAAGGCGUAGUCGAUGGGAAACGGGUUAAUAUUCCCGUACUUGGUGUUACUGCGAAGGGGGGACGGAGAAGGCUAUGUUGGCCGGGCGACGGUUGUCCCGGUUUAAGCGUGUAGGUGUGUGUUCCAGGUAAAUCCGGUUCACUUUAACACUGAGGCGUGACGACGAGGCACUACGGUGCUGAAGCAACAAAUGCCCUGCUUCCAGGAAAAGCCUCUAAGCAUCAGGUAACAUCAAAUCGUACCCCAAACCGACACAGGUGGUCAGGUAGAGAAUACCAAGGCGCUUGAGAGAACUCGGGUGAAGGAACUAGGCAAAAUGGUGCCGUAACUUCGGGAGAAGGCACGCUGACACGUAGGUGAAGUGAUUUACUCAUGGAGCUGAAGUCAGUCGAAGAUACCAGCUGGCUGCAACUGUUUAUUAAAAACACAGCACUGUGCAAACACGAAAGUGGACGUAUACGGUGUGACGCCUGCCCGGUGCCGGAAGGUUAAUUGAUGGGGU
rnacentral:rRNA from 1 species